UGGGGAAUAUUGGACAAUGGGCGCAAGCCUGAUCCAGCAAUGCCGCGUGUGUGAAGAAGGCCUUCGGGUUGUAAAGCACUUUUAUCAGGAGCGAAACGCUGUCGGCUAAUACCCGGCGGAACUGACGGUACCUGAGGAAUAAGCACCGGCUAACUUCGUGCCAGCAGCCGCGGUAAUACGAAGGGUGCAAGCGUUAAUCGGAAUUACUGGGCGUAAAGCGUGCGUAGGCGGUUUCUUAAGUCUGCUGUGAAAUCCCCGGGCUCAACCUGGGAAUGGCAGUGGAUACUGGGAGGCUAGAGUGUGUCAGAGGGUGGUGGAAUUCCCGGUGUAGCGGUGAAAUGCGUAGAGAUCGGGAGGAACAUCAGUGGCGAAGGCGGCCACCUGGGACAACACUGACGCUGAGGCACGAAAGCGUGGAGAGCAAAACAGGAUUAGAUACCCUGGUAGUCCACGCCCUAAACGAUGCGAACUGGAUGUUGGUCUCAACUCGGAGAUCAGUGUCGAAGCUAACGCGUUAAGUUCGCCGCCUGGGGAGUACGGUCGCAAGACUGAAACUCAAAUGAAUUGAC
rnacentral:rRNA from 1 species